rnacentral:rRNA from 1 species
UACGUAGGGGGCAAGCGUUGUCCGGAAUCAUUGGGCGUAAAGCGCGCGUAGGCGGCCCUGUAAGUCCGUUGUGAAAGUCGAAGGCUCAACCUUCGAAAGCCGAUGGAUACUGCAGGGCUAGAGUCCGGAAGAGGCGAGUGGAAUUCCCGGUGUAGCGGUGAAAUGCGCAGAUAUCAGGAAGAACACCCGUGGCGAAGGCGGCUCUCUGGGACGGUACUGACGGCUGAGACGCGAAAAGCGUGGGGGAGCGAACAGG